GCUCAAAAACGGGGUCAGAAAGUGACAAUUUUCGAAUUUUCAAAGUGCUCUCAUUCCCUUAUUUCUGAUCGAAUCCUGUUAUAACCCGGUGUUUUCGUAAUCUAGGUGAUGUAAACAAGUCGAUGGUAUAGUUAGUUCGAAUUCGAAAAAAUUCAAUUUUUGGUGAAAAAUUCGAUACGGGGGGGUAUACCCGAAAAAUGAAAAAUCCCAAACUUUGGAGGUCGAUAUCUCGGCUUCUAUGGGCACUAUCUGGAAAAUUCCAACGGUUUUCUCUUAGUUUCGUCUUUCCGAAUCCAACGAGACCAUCCACAAGGUCGUAGGUCUCAUAUUAGCUGAGAUCUCGCAUUUUUGAGGCCCAUUUUUGGGCUCAAAAACGGGGUCAGAAAGUGACAAUUUUCGAAUUUUCAAAGUGCUCUCAUUCCCUUAUUUCUGAUCGAAUCCUGUUAUAACCCGGUGUUUUCGUAAUCUAGGUGAUGUAAACAAGUCGAUGGUAUAGUUAGUUCGAAUUCGAAAAAAUUCAAUUUUUGGUGAAAAAUUCGAUACGGGGGGGUAUACCCGAAAAAUGAAAAAUCCCAAACUUUGGAGGUCGAUAUCUCGGCUUCUAUGGGCACUAUCUGGAAAAUUCCAACGGUUUUCUCUUAGUUUCGUCUUUCCGAAUCCAACGAGACCAUCCACAAGGUCGUAGGUCUCAUAUUAGCUGAGAUCUCGCAUUUUUGAGGCCCAUUUUUGGGCUCAAAAACGGGGUCAGAAAGUGACAAUUUUCGAAUUUUCAAAGUGCUCUCAUUCCCUUAUUUCUGAUCGAAUCCUGUUAUAACCCCGUGUUUUCGUAAUCUAGGUGAUGUAAACAAGUCGAUGGUACAGUUAGUUCGAAUUCGAAAAAAUUCAAUUUUUGGUGAAAAAUUCGAUACGGGGGGGUAUACCCGAAAAAUGAAAAAUCCCAAACUUUGGAGGUCGAUAUCUCGGCUUCUAUGGGCACUAUCUGGAAAAUUCCAACGGUUUUCUCUUAGUUUCGUCUUUCCGAAUCCAACGAGACCAUCCACAAGGUCGUAGGUCUCAUAUUAGCUGAGAUCUCGCAUAUUUGAGGCCCAUUUUUGGGCUCAAAAACGGGGUCAGAAAGUGACAAUUUUCGAAUUUUCAAAGUGCUCUCAUUCCCUUAUUUCUGAUCGAAUCCUGUUAUAACCCGGUGUUUUCGUAAUCUAGGUGAUGUAAACAAGUCGAUGGUACAGUUAGUUCGAAUUCGAAAAAAUUCAAUUUUUGGUGAAAAAUUCGAUACGGGGGGGUAUACCCGAAAAA